GCCGUGGUGCUGGAAUUGGCAGACAGGUACCGCUCAGGACGGUAUGGGUUAAAACCCGUGUGGGUUCAAAUCCCACCCACGGCA
rnacentral:tRNA from 1 species